GACGAACGCUGGCGGCGUGCUUAACACAUGCAAGUCGAACGGAAAGGCCCUGCUUUUGUGAGGUGCUCGAGUGGCGAACGGGUGAGUAACACGUGAGUAACCUGCCCUUGACUUUGGGAUAACUUCAGGAAACUGGGGCUAAUACCGGAUAGGAGCUCCUGCUGCAUGGUGGGGGUUGGAAAGUUUCGGCGGUUGGGGAUGGACUCGCGGCUUAUCAGCUUGUUGGUGGGGUAGUGGCUUACCAAGGCUUUGACGGGUAGCCGGCCUGCGAGGGUGACCGGCCACAUUGGGACUGAGAUACGGCCCAGACUCCUACGGGAGGCAGCAGUGGGGAAUAUUGCACAAUGGGCGGAAGCCUGAUGCAGCAACGCCGCGUGCGGGAUGACGGCCUUCGGGUUGUAAACCGCUUUCGCCUGUGACGAAGCGUGAGUGACGGUAAUGGGUAAAGAAGCACCGGCUAACUACGUG
rnacentral:rRNA from 1 species